rnacentral:rRNA from 1 species
CAAUUGGAGGGCAAGUCUGGUGCCAGCAGCCGCGGUUAAUUCCAGCUCCAAUAGCGCAUAUUAAAGUUGUUGCAGUUAAAAAGCUCGUAGUUGAACCUUGGGCCUGGCUGGCCGGUCCGCCUCACGGCGUGCACUGGUCCGGCUGGGCCUUUCUCCUUGGGGAACCCCAUGGCCUUCACUGGCCGUGGGCGGAACCAGGGCUUUUACUGUGAAAAAAUUAGAGUGUUCAAAGCAGGCCUUUGCUCGGAUACAUUAGCAUGGAAUAAUAGAAUAGGACGUGUGGUUCUAUUUUGUUGGUUUCUAGGACCGCCGUAAUGAUUAAUAGGGAUAGUCGGGGGCGUCAGUAUUCGGCUGUCAGAGGUGAAAUUCUUGGAUUUGCCGAAGACUAACUACUGCGAAACCAUUCGCCAAGGAUGUUUUCAUUAAUCAGUGAACGAAAGUUAGGGGAUCGAAGACGAUCAGAUACCGUCGUAGUCUUAACCAUAAACUAUGCCGACUAGGGAUCGGACGGGGUUUCUUUUAUGACCCGUUCGGCACCUUACGAGAAAUCAAAGUUUUUGGGUUCUGGGGGGAGUAUGGUCGCAAGGCUGAAACUUAAAGAAA